AACGAACGCUGGCGGCAGGCCUAACACAUGCAAGUCGAACGAUGUAGCAAUACAUAGUGGCGCACGGGUGAGUAACGCGUGGGAAUGUACCUUUUAGUGGGGGAUAACUCCGGGAAACUGGAGCUAAUACCGCAUACGCCCUUCGGGGGAAAGAUUUAUCGCUAAAAGAUCAGCCCGCGUGAGAUUAGGUAGUUGGUGGGGUAAUGGCCUACCAAGCCUACGAUCUCUAGCUGGUCUCAGAGGAUGAUCAGCCACACUGGAACUGAGACACGGUCCAGACUCCUACGGGAGGCAGCAGUGGGGAAUAUUGGGCAAUGGGCGCAAGCCUGACCCAGCCAUGCCGCGUGAGUGAUGAAGGCUCUAGGGUUGUAAAGCUCUUUCGCCGAUGAAGAUAAUGACGGUAGUCGGAGAAGAAGCCCCGGCUAACUUCGUGCCAGCCGCCGCUGUAA
rnacentral:rRNA from 1 species